UACGUAGGGUGCGAGCGUUAAUCGGAAUUACUGGGCGUAAAGUGUGCGCAGGCGGCCGCGCAAGUCGAGUGUGAAAGCCCCGAGCUUAACUUGGGAAUUGCGCUCGAAACUACGUGGCUGGAGUGUGGCAGAGGAAGGUGGAAUUCCACGUGUAGCGGUGAAAUGCGUAGAGAUGUGGAGGAACACCGAUGGCGAAGGCAGCCUUCUGGGCCAAUACUGACGCUCAUGCACGAAAGCGUGGGGAGCAAACAGG
rnacentral:rRNA from 1 species